UUAAGUGACGAUAGCCUAGGAGAUACACCUGUACCCAUGCCGAACACAGAAGUUAAGCCCUAGAACGCCGCAAUAAUUUUUUAUCUUAGUCAGUAGGACGGUAUCAAUUUCA
rnacentral:rRNA from 1 species